CAGACACACUCUGCUUUGAAGAAUGAUUCAUUCCUACCGUCGCACCAUUAGAAUCUUUAGGAUGGCCGCUCAACCUAAAAUCGAGAACCCAAUCAAACAGCGAUGGAAUGUAAGGAGGAUCAAGGAAAAUUACGUUAGUGGGGAACAUAUGGCUAUAGAUGAUCUGAAGAAGAAACACCGCAACCUGUACACUGCUAAAAAUGUGGCUGAACCAAACAAAAUGACUUAUAUAAACGGCUAUCCUGUAGUUCCAUACUAUCCUCGACCUGUAGCGUUCCAUUGUUCAAGAGUAUCUCACGUCACGACUACAGAUGGUAUGAAAUGUAUUCUGGACCGCAAAGGGUUUAGAAGGGGGGAUAGGAGACCUGGCCUCUUGUGGUGGGGGACUCUGAUUGGUGAAAACGAGACCCUUGCUGCAGAGCAGAGGUACCUGGAGAAACUCUUCCCUGAUCGGAGUCCAGAAGAGAGAGAGCGACAGGAGCCUUUCCUGCGGAAAUUCAGCACCUCUCCUGUGUUUAAGGAUUGGUCUCGCUAUGGAAACUUCCGGUUCACUUUCUCACUGGCUGAUGUUAUGAAAGAGUACAGCACACAUUUCUGUGGAGGAGAACACCCUGUCCUUAGAGUUUAUGAGACUGUAAUCUACAAGCAGGAGGUCAUGUACGUUGUGCUGAUUCAUAGCCCUGAUGUUCAUGAUUUUGAUGGUUACCCAGAGUUGGGGGAUAAUGAUGAGGGUGUGUGUGCUUACAGGGAUGGAGAGAUCAUCUGGCGUGCUCAAGCCAUCUCUCAAACACACUGCUAUAGACUGACUGAAAACAGAGAUGACAAACAAGUUAGCGUAGGAAGUGGGUUUAAGGUAUUUUAUGUGUGGGAUCACGUGACCCUGGCCUUUCACAUGCCAGAAGGUAAAAAUCUAGUAUUCCCUUUGGAGACGCUUCUGCAGUCUCUCACUGCUUGUGGUGGUGCAGUCAAUUCUCUGAACCCUGUGAUUGGCAAAGUGAAAGCAGGAAAGAUAGUUCAGGAAAAGAAGGUAAAACUCUAGAAUUCUCUUUGGAGACGCUUCAGGAUGCUCUCACUGCGUGUGAUGAUGGAGACAAUAGCCUGAACAAUCUAAUUGGCAAAGCGGAAACAGAAGAGAUCAUUCAGGAAAUGAUAUAAACCGGCUAAAAUUAGUUUGGUCAUAUGUCUGUUAGUCACGUGUCUUUUACUGAAAUAAUGUGACUGCAUGUGUGACGUGAGUUGAGUUUGUAAUAGAAUGGGCCUCGCCCCACAGAGCUUUGGAUUUGUUUCUUGGCCCUUGUGGCGUUUGUAACUUUCACCGGUGCCGUGAAUAAAGCUGCAGUCUCACACCUGUGUCGCCUGUUU
ensembl:lncRNA